rnacentral:ncRNA from 1 species
UGAAAAACUGUGAUUAGGAAAAGUACUUAAGUCUUGACCUCUCAGAGAGUGGCGGUUGGUGGAAAGCCACAGGAAUAUAGAUUAGGGAAUAUCACCUAGGAGUUGAAAGCUGAACUUAUAGUAAGCUGUUCCGUAGUUCUGCGUUAGAGAAUAGAGCAUGAUGGUGCUUGAAAUUAGACUUUAGUAUACUUAAAGUCAGCCAAUGGUGGUAUAGCGAGUUUUAACUUCGUCCUUUGG